rnacentral:rRNA from 1 species
UACGGAGGGUGCAAGCGUUAUCCGGAUUCACUGGGCUUAAAGGGCGCGUAGGUGGUCCGGUAAGUCAGCGGUGAAAUCUCCGAGCUUAACUCGGAAACUGCCAUUGAUACUAUCUGUCUUGAAUAUCCUGGAGGUGAGCGGAAUAUGUCAUGUAGCGGUGAAAUGCUUAGAUAUGACAUAGAACACCAAUUGCGAAGGCAGCUCACUGCGGGAUUAUUGACACUGAGGCACGAAAGCGUGGGGAUCAAACAGG